UACGGAAGGCAGCAGGGGGAAUAUUGCACAAUGGGCGCAAGCCUGAUGCAGCCAUGCCGCGUGUAUGAAGAAGGCCUUCGGGUUGUAAAGUACUUUCAGUCGUGAGGAAGGUGUUAAGGUUAAUAACCUUAGCAAUUGACGUUAGCGACAGAAGAAGCACCGGCUAACUCCGUGCCAGCAGCCGCGGUAAUACGGAGGGUGCGAGCGUUAAUCGGAAUUACUGGGCGUAAAGGGCACGCAGGCGGUUAAUUAAGUUGGAUGUGAAAUCCCCGGGCUUAACCUGGGAAUGGCAUUCAAGACUGGUUAGCUAGAGUCUUGUAGAGGGGGUUAGAAGUUCCGAUGUGUAGCGGUGAAAUGCGUAGAGAUGUGGAGGAAUACCGGUGGCGAAGGCGGCCCCUGGACAAAGACUGACGCUCAUGUGCGAAAGCGUGGGGAGCAAACGAGGGAUUAGAUACCCGU
rnacentral:rRNA from 1 species